rnacentral:rRNA from 1 species
AUGCAGCGACGCCGCGUGAGGGAUGAAGGCCUUCGGGUUGUAAACCUUUUUCGCUCAUGGUCAAGCCGCAGCUUUGGGUUGUGGUGAGGGUAGUGGGUAAAGAAGCGCCGGCUAACUACGUGCCAGCAGCCGCGGUAAUACGUAGGGCGCGAGCGUUGUCCGGAAUUAUUGGGCGUAAAGGGCUUGUAGGCGGUUGGCCGCGUCUGCCGUGAAAUCCUCUGGCUUAACUGGGGGCGUGCGGUGGGUACGGGUUGACUUGAGUGCGGUAGGGGAGACUGGAAUUCCUGGU